GGGUAAUUUUCCGCAAUGGGCGAAAGCCUGACGGAGCAAUACCGCGUGAGGGACGAAGGCUUUUGGGUCGUAAACCUCUUUUCCCUGAGAAGAAGAUCUGACGGUAUCAGGGGAAUAAGCAUCGGCUAACUUCGUGCCAGCAGCCGCGGUAAUACGAGGGAUGCAAGCGUUAUCCGGAAUUAUUGGGCGUAAAGCGUCCGCAGGUGGCUCUGUAAGUCUGUCGUUAAAGAAUGGGGCUUAACCCCAUACAGGCGAUGGAAACUACAAGGCUAGAGUUUGGUAGGGGUCACGGGAAUUCCUAGUGUAGCGGUGAAAUGCGUAGAUAUUAGGAAGAACACCAGCGGCGAAAGCGCGUGACUGGGCCAGUACUGACACUCAUGGACGAAAGCUAGGGGAGCGAAAGGGAUUAGAUACCCCUGUAGUCCUAGCCGUAAACGAUGAUAACUAGGUGUUGCCCGUAUCGACCCGGGCAGUGCCGUAGCCAACGCGUUAAGUUAUCC
rnacentral:rRNA from 1 species